CGGUGGGUCAGUGCACCGCGUUCUCGCACGCGUCAUGUUUGUUCCGAUACAAGCACCCGUCUGAGGAGGAGCUUCGGGCCCUGGCGGGGAAGCCGAGGCCCAGAGGCAGGAAAGAGCGGUGGGCCAAUGGCCUUAAUGAGGAGAAGCCACUGUCUGUGCCCCGAGAUACCCCGUUCCAGCUGGAGACCUGCCCCCUCACGACCGUGGAUGCCCUGGGUAAUAGCCCAGUCCCAUCCCUAAACUCUACUCCCUCAGCCCUGAAUGUCCCCACACCCUCAUGGGGGUGGGGAGGAUUUGAAGGAAGAAUGUUCUAUUGGGAGGGGAGCGAGCUGGGCCCCAGGGCUAAGCAGAGUGCCCCCUGCAGUCCUGCGCUUCUUCCUGGAGUACCAGUGGUUUGUGGACUUUGCUGUGUACUCGGGCGGCGUGUACCUCUUCACGGAGGCCUACUACUACAUGCUGGGCCCAGCCAAAGAGACUAACAUCGCCGUGUUCUGGUGCCUGCUCACAGUGGCCUUCUCCAUCAAGAUGUUCCUGACAGUGACACGGCUGUACUUCAGCGCUGAGGAGGGGGGCGAGCGCUCUGUCUGCCUCACCUUUGCCUUCCUCUUCCUGCUGCUGGCCAUGCUGGUGCAGGUGGUGCGGGAGGAGACCCUCGAGCUGGGCCUGGAGCCUGGUCUGGCCAGCAUGACCCAGAACUUAGAGCCACUUCUGAAGAAGCAGGGCUGGGACUGGGCGCUCCCUGCGGCCAAGCUGGCUAUCCGCGUGGGGCUGGCGGUGGUGGGCUCUGUGCUGGGUGCCUUCCUCACCUUCCCAGGCCUGCGGCUGGCGCAAACCCACCGGGACGCACUGACCAUGUCGGAGGACCGGCCGAUGCUGCAGUUCCUUCUGCACACCAGCUUCCUGUCUCCCCUGUUCAUCCUGUGGCUCUGGACAAAGCCCAUUGCGCGGGACUUCCUGCACCAGCCGCCGUUUGGGGAGACGCGUUUCUCCCUGCUGUCCGAUUCUGCCUUCGACUCUGGGCGCCUCUGGUUGCUGGUGGUGCUGUGCCUGCUGCGGCUGGCGGUGACCCGGCCCCACCUGCAGGCCUACCUGUGCCUGGCCAAGGCCCGCGUGGAGCAGCUGCGAAGGGAGGCUGGCCGCAUCGAAGCCCGUGAAAUCCAGCAGAGGGUGGUCCGAGUCUACUGCUAUGUGACUGUGGUGAGCUUGCAGUACCUGACGCCGCUCAUCCUCACCCUCAACUGCACACUUCUGCUCAAGACGCUGGGAGGCUAUUCCUGGGGCCUGGGCCCAGCUCCUCUACUAUCCCCUGACCCAUCCUCAGCCCGUGCUGCCCCCAUCGGCUCCAGUGAGGACGAAGUCCAGCAGACUGCAGCGCGGAUCGCCGGGGCCGUGGGUGGCCUGCUUCCGCCCCUCCUCCUCCGUGGCGUCCUGGCCUACCUCAUCUGGUGGACGGCUGCCUGCCAGCUGCUCUCCAGCCUUUUCGGCCUCUACUUCCACCAGCACUUGGCAGGCUCCUAGCUGCCUGCAGACCCUCCUGGGGCCCUGAGGCAGCGCCCCCGUGUCCCCAGAUGCAAGGUGGGGCCGGACUCCCCGGCGUUCCCUUCACCGCAGUGCCUGAGCCGCGGCCCCCAUUGGACGCCGAGUUUCUGCCUCAGAACUGUCUCUCCUGGGCCCAGCAGCAUGAGGGUCCCGAGGCCAUUGUCUCCGAAGCGUGUGUGCCAGGUUUGAGUGGCGAGGGUGACGCUGGCUGCUCUUCUG
rnacentral:sRNA from 1 species